UAACAAGGAUUCCCCUAGUAACGGCGAGUGAAGUGGGAAGAGCUCAACUUUGUAAUCUGGCUGCUUCGCAGUCCGAGUUGUAGUCUAAAGAAGCAUGAUCCGCGCCGGACCUUGGGCAUGUCUGUUGGAAAGCAGUGUCAAAGAGGGUGAUAAUCCCGUACAUACCAAGGACGACCGUGUGCAUUGUGGUCUGCUCUCUAAGAGUCGAGUUGUUUGGGAAUGCAGCUCUAAUUGGGUGGUAAAUUCCAUCUAAAGCUAAAUAUCGACGAGAGACCGAUAGCGAACAAGUACAGUAAUGGAAAGAUGAAAAGUAGCCUGCAGAGGCAAUGAAACAAUACGUGAAACCGUUUGUAGGGAAGCGAUGGAACCUUUUCACGCUGCGAGGGUUCAGCCUUUCUUCGGAUUGGUGUAUUCCCUCGUUUUGCGGACCAGCAUCAGUUUGCUUGGCAGUAUAAGGGUGUUUGGAACGUGGCUCCCACGGGAGUGUUAUAGCCUUUCACUGGAUGCUGCCUCGCAGACUGAGGACUACAGUGCGCCAUUAUGGCAUAGUCUUCGGGCUACGAGCACUUAGGAUGCUGGCGUAAU
rnacentral:rRNA from 1 species